UAUGAAAAUGCUAUGGUAAAUUGCAAAGUGGAAUAUAAAUAUGACACUCCUUAUAAAUGCCUAUUGCCUAAUUAUCAUCUGAACUUUGUCAUAGUAAGACAACAUUAAACAGGAAAGUUUUACCUGACCUGUAGUUAAAUAUUAGCUAGCUUUAGAUUAAAAAUACAGGCAAAAUGAAUAGACUUCUACUUUCACACAAAAUGGGGCAUUUUAAUAAGUGAAAUCUAAACUGUGCAAUUAGACUGUUUCACGCAGAGGAAGCAUAGAAACAAUGGAUAACAAUAGGUAAAGUGGUAAUUCCCUGGAUACGUGCAAAGAAUAUGGGAAAAAAAAGAAUAAAACUUGCCAGAAGGAACCUCAUGUAUAUGGGCAGGUAUAUAUACAACAGUAUUUUUAAUCUGAAUGAACUUGGGAGAGAACUAAGGAAAGAACAAAAAACAUUCUUUGUUCAUGGAUGGAAAAACUUUAUUUGGCUGACAAUAAAGACUUGUGACUGGACAUCAUUUGCUCUGAACCAGUACCUGACCACAGGAAACUUAGGAUAACCACUGCCUUCAGAAGGAGAAAGAUGGUGUGGCAUGGGUGAAGAAGAUGCAGCCCCUCAUACCUAAAGUUUACCAGCAGAGGACACAGCACAGAAUGUGGGGAGAGCAGCUGUGUUGCUGUGCAUCCUUGCACUCACAUUGCAGCUUUGUCCUGGCCUUUUAAGAUGUCGGCUUGGAUUUGACAGAGGUGCACCUGGCAGUCUGCAGCCAAUGAAGCCAAAAGCCCCUUAUGUUUCUGUGAGGCUCUGUUUCCUGUUAGUAAAAUUAAAGCAUUUAAAAAAUAAGGAGGCAUCCAGGUAUCCUUGUUUAAAAAAACUGU